UAGGGAAUCUUCCGCAAUGGGCGAAAGCCUGACGGAGCAACGCCGCGUGAGUGAUGAAGGUCUUCGGAUCGUAAAACUCUGUUAUUAGGGAAGAACAAAUGUGUAAGUAACUAUGCACGUCUUGACGGUACCUAAUCAGAAAGCCACGGCUAACUACGUGCCAGCAGCCGCGGUAAUACGUAGGUGGCAAGCGGUAUCCGGAAUUAUUGGGCGUAAAGCGCGCGUAGGCGGUUUUUUAAGUCUGAUGUGAAAGCCCACGGCUAAACCGUGGAGGGUCAUUGGAAAAUGGAAAACUUGAGUGCAGAAGAGGAAAGUGGAAUUCCGUGUGUAGCGGUGAAAUGCGCAGAGAUAUGGAGGAAAAACAGUGGCGAAGGAGACUUUCUGGUCUGUAACUGACGCUGAUGUGCGAAAGCGUGGGGAUCAAACAGG
rnacentral:rRNA from 1 species